GUUGUACUCCCUAUGGUCCAUAUUAUUUGUCGCUGAAUUGGAUUUAUCUAGACGUAUAUUAGUGCUAGAUACAUCCAUUUGAGCGACAAGUAAUAUGGAUCAGAGGGAGUAGUUG
rnacentral:pre_miRNA from 2 species